AUACGUAGGAUGCAAGCGUUAUCCGGAUUUACUGGGUGUAAAGGGAGCGCAGGCGGGACUGCAAGUUGGAUGUGAAAUACCGUGGCUUAACCACGGAACUGCAUCCAAAACUGUAGUUCUUGAGUGAAGUAGAGGCAAGCGGAAUUCCGAGUGUAGCGGUGAAAUGCGUAGAUAUUCGGAGGAACACCAGUGGCGAAGGCGGCUUGCUGGGCUAUAACUGACGCUGAGGCUCGAAAGGGUGGGGAGCAAACAGGAUUAGAUACCCUGGUAGUCCACACUGUAAACGAUGAUAGCUAGGUGUGGGGGGUCUGACCCCUUCCGUGCCGGAGUUAACGCAAUAAGCUAUCCACCUGGGGAGUUCGACCGCAAGGUUGAAACUCAAAGGAAUUGACGGGG
rnacentral:rRNA from 1 species